rnacentral:rRNA from 1 species
UACGAAGGGUGCAAGCGUUACUCGGAAUUACUGGGCGUAAAGCGUGCGUAGGUGGUGAGUUAAGUCUGUCGUGAAAUCCCCGGGCUCAACCCGGGAACUGCGUCCGAUACUGGAAGGCUUGAAUCCGGGAGAGGGAUGUGGAAUUCCAGGUGUAGCGGUGAAAUGCGUAGAUAUCUGGAGGAACACCGGUGGCGAAGGCGACAUCCUGGACCGGUAUUGACGCUGAGGCGCGAAAGCCAGGGGAGCAAACGGG